rnacentral:rRNA from 1 species
CCUACGGGUGGCUGCAGUCGAGGAUCUUCGGCAAUGGGCGCAAGCCUGACCGAGCGACGCCGCGUGUGGGAUGAAGGCCCUUGGGUUGUAAACCACUGUCGAGGGGGAUGAAGUGCGCGCAAGCUAUCUUGUGCGUUUGACAGAGCCCUGGAGGAAGCACGGGCUAAGUUCGUGCCAGCAGCCGCGGUAAUACGAACUGUGCGAACGUUAUUCGGAAUCACUGGGCUUAAAGGGUGCGUAGGCGGCUUGUUAAGCAGGGUGUGAAAGCCCUCGGC